AUUGAACGCUGCGGCAGGCUUAAAACAUGCAAGUCGAGCGAGCGGCGGACGGGGGAGUAAUGGUUAGGAAUCUGCCUAUGAGUGGGGGACAACAUCACGAAAGGGAUGCUAAUACCGCAUACUAAUAGAUGAGCAUAAGUCGGAGUAGCGAGUUGGUGGGGUAAAGGCCUACCAUGGCGACGAUCCGUAGCGGGUCUGAGAGGAUGAUCCGCCACACUGGGACUUGUACACCGCCCCGACUCCUACGGGGGGCAGCAGUGGGGAAUAUUUGACAAUGGGGCGAACCCUGAUCCAGCCCUGCCGCGUGUGUGAAGAAGGCCUUAUGGUUGUAAAGCACUUUAAGCGAGGAGGCGUUACUCGCAGAAUAAGCACCGGCUAACUCUGUGCCAGCAGCCGCGGUAAUUC
rnacentral:rRNA from 1 species